rnacentral:rRNA from 1 species
GUGGGGAAUUUUGGACAAUGGGCGCAAGCCCGAUCCAGCAAUGCCGCGUGCAGGAAGAAGGCCUUCGGGUUGUAAACUGCUUUUGUACGGAACGAAACGGUCCGGGUUAAUACCCUGGGCUAAUGACGGUACCGUAAGAAUAAGCACCGGCUAACUACGUGCCAGCAGCCGCGGUAAUACGUAGGGUGCAAGCGUUAAUCGGAAUUACUGGGCGUAAAGCGUGCGCAGGCGGUUUUGUAAGACAGGCGUGAAAUCCCCGGGCUCAACCUGGGAAUUGCGCUUGUGACUGCAAGGCUGGAGUGCGGCAGAGGGGGAUGGAAUUCCGCGUGUAGCAGUGAAAUGCGUAGAUAUGCGGAGGAACACCGAUGGCGAAGGCAAUCCCCUGGGCCUGCACUGACGCUCAUGCACGAAAGCGUGGGGAGCAAACAGGAUUAGAUACCCUGGUAGUCC